GACGAACGCUGGCGGCGUGCCUAAUACAUGCAAGUAGAACGCAGGUGAGAACGGGUGAGGAACGCGGAGGUACCUGCGGCAAAGCGGGGGAUCACGGAUGGAAACGAUAGAUAACACCGCAUACUGUGUGAGUGACCUGCGUUGUAUUAGCUAGUGGGUGAGGUCACGGCUCAACAAGGAGACGAUACAUCGCCGACCUGAGAGGUGGGUCGGCCACACCGGGACUGUGCAACUGCCCCGACGCCUUCGGGUGGCAGUAUGUGGGUAUCUUCGGCAAUUGGCGGAAGUCUGACCGAGCAACGCCGCGGGAGUUAAGAAGGUUUUCGGGUCGUAAAGCUCUGUUGUUAUGGACGCGGUAACUAACCAGAAAGGGACGGCUAACUACGUGCCAGCAGCCGCGGUAAUAC
rnacentral:rRNA from 1 species